rnacentral:lncRNA from 1 species
CUUAGGGCCAUAAUGACCUCCAGACCUUUUGCAGAAGGUUGGAAUAGAUAAGAUUAGCAUAUUCGUAGUCUGGAAAAUGCUAUACAAAGAAUGUAAAACAUGAAACUACUUGUGGACCAAAUGAAAAACUGUGGAGCAGAUUAUGAUGCAGUUAGACCUUGCUUGAAUGACUUCGACCCACAAAAGCAGAGUAAUUUAUCCCUACUUACAGAGAGAUUGCCCUACGUGUAACAGCUGCAUACAAAAAAGUUAUAAAAUUAUCAUUGGUUUAACAAGGAUAAAUGAAAAACAUUAAAAUUCUCCAACUGAACAAGGUGUGUCUGUUUCAUUGAUUGGCUGACUGUCAAAUCGGAAUCUGAUCUGCCCCAUUGACAAUGCCUUGGGCUUUUCCUCAGCCAUGGCAAAUGCCAGAGUCUUCUCAGCUGCCGCUUCACAAAAGAGGUACCAGCUUCUCACUGAACGAACACAGUGCAGCACCAGGAGUGACAGAAGAAGGAGGCGGCAGCGGUGGUUGAGGGACAGGAUGUGAUUCUUCUUCCAACUGAUUCGCCAGAAGAAUCAGGCCUCUUUGCUCCUUUUCUUCAGUGUCCUGUGCCUUGGCUGUUGCAGGUGGAAGUGGAAAAGAAAUUGCCAAUGAUGCUGCAAAUAACUUCCUUCACCUUCUAACCUGGAGAUUCAUUGAAGGAAGAAAAAAGGUGACUGUCAGAGUCCCUGCUGGCCAUGCCUCUCAGCCACAGGACCACUGAGCCACUUAAUUCCUCCCCAGGGUCAGAUGUGCCCCAGCACCCAAUUGUUUAUGGAUACCCUAACCACCUUUUCACACUCCUU